GAGCCAUCUAAACCUUCUGACAUCAGACAGAGAGCUACAGGAUUUGGAUUUCCCUGUGAGCAUCCUUAGGAUGAGGUAGGGGAAGAUAAAACUGCAGUCAGAAGAACGAGGAGGCUGAGGCCAUCACAGACGCUGUGUUUGUCAUUGCCCAGAGGGAGACAAGAGACACCAAGAUCAAUGGAAGAAAGGUCCCUCAAAACACCACAUCCAGGAAGGCAGAACUUCUAUCUGAAGCCACAAGCCCUACCCCGCCCCACAUGGACAAGGCCUGAAUCUCAAAUGUCAUCUAGAGUCCUCUUCCAACUGCACAGGCAAUUUAUUUAAAAAUAUUUUCCAUGCAAUAUAUCUGAUCACACUUUUCCUUCCCUUAACUCCUCCCAGA
rnacentral:lncRNA from 1 species